CUUUAAGAGGGCUCACUCUUGUACUGCAUUUCACCUGUUAGUGUCCUCAGAAUAACUUACUUCAGUAAGUCUAUUAUUUUAUUGAGUAUUCAUGUAAAAAGGUCUCAUUGUACUUUUCGUUCUGGUCUGGUGCACAGAAAAUCUAUUCUCAAAGGAUAUACAGUACAUAUUUAAUUCUACCUUGCUUUACUUAUUGAUAUUGUUACCAGGAGAAAAACCAUCCUGUGUGACAUCUUAAAAUAUGGCUAUUAGAUGCAACACUACACAACGUGCCACUGAUGUUGCAACUUAUCUAAGGGGAUUAAGAUCUCUGCUUUCAAACGGAGCUGGAAUUUUAGAGUAUAGUUAUCCAAGACUUGCUGAUCCACGUGAUUCAUUUGAGACCUAAUCCACAUGAAUAUCCUAAAUAUUUAUCUGUUUUUUGAAUCAAGAGGAAACAUUCUUAUGGUGCACCUAAUUGAGGUCACCGUGACAUUAAUUACAGUGCAGAAAAUGACUUCAUGUUUUAUGUAUUUAUUUAGAGAAAGACAAUUAGAUAUAAAAGCUUUUAUUUCUAGAUCUGGAGAUAAAAGUUACGUUUCAAUAUUCACCACAAAUACUGACACAAGAAAUGAGGAGAAAUUGGAAAAAUACAAUUCUAACAUGAAAAGAGGAAUAAAGACAUUGAGACAUAUCUUCAUGUUGACAGUAUUUGAAAGUCAUCUUUUCCUUGGCAUUUUGAAUAACAAGUUCAGUGAGAUAAAGCACAAUGAAGAUCUUUUGAAGAAGCAUCUGGAAUUCAUCUGUGUAAAGAAACACCUGGCAAUGCCCAUGGGGACUCAGAGAUGAGAAGGCAGCUGGACCAGAAGAAUCACAAAAUCAUGGGAUUGCAGUGACUCUGUCAUCACUGGAUUUCAGCAGAAGUGUGGCACAUCCCAGGAUAGAUUCCACCACUGUGGAAGCACAGCCCUCAGGGUUCCCUAGGGUUACUCUUGAACACGUGUAAAUCAGCCUCCAACUCUUCUUGUUAGACUUGGAGCCCAACUUUCGCCAUUUCGCCCUCACUCAGUGGAAGAAUGAACUCAGCUGAUCUUCAGAAUAGUGCUGUGCUCCAAAUCACAGCCCUGAGCUGAUCCUGCUCUCCAGCUCCUCCUGAUGCUCAUUCCUGGAGCACUCUACAGCCAGCCAGAAGUCCAUUUCCCUGCAUGAUUCACAAAUUCCUUUGAGACCAUGCAGGACUUUGAUACCAUCAUUCAUUUUUUUUUUCUUUUUAGUUUGAUAAAGAAUGAGGAAGUUGCUCCAAUGUCACUUUUGCACCCCUUUUUGUGGUAUUUGUCCAUUCUGCUGGCAGAAAGCAGAUUGAGCAAAUAUGCAUGUCAAGAUAUUACAGGUAGACCUUGACUUCAUAGAAAUGAAUUGAUUGAUAGAAAAAUUGGCAAAACUGGCAGUCAUGGCAUCAGAAUCCUCUCAUGGAGAAAGUGAUAUAAAGGUUAAAUAUCCUGUAAUAAUGAAGUGUAUACUCCUUCAAAACAUCCUUCUAUUUGAUCUCAAAAAUUGGACCUUUGGUGAAAAUACAAGCCAUGAAAUGAAUGAAGGUGAAGAAUAACCAGCAGAAAUACCAAGGGAGAGGCACAAUUUCAGUAUAAAUCACAGAAUUUACCUUGGAAAGGAUGCAAGCACAAUCCCUAGAAGUAGUGCAGAUUUGUGAACUCAACAUUGAAUUCACCUCCCUUUAAACUCUAGGUGAGUUGGGAAUAUGAAUAACACAAUGUCAUGUGAGAUGGGGAAGUAAAUGAAACCUGGAAAGCAGCCAAGUGGGGAAAAAAAAUAAAAGAACAAAGAAAAGGAGAAAGUUUACUGCUCUGUUUGCAAUGGCUGUUGACAAAAAUGCUACCUCGAAUA
ensembl:lncRNA